rnacentral:rRNA from 1 species
AUGAACGCUGGCGGCGUGCCUAAUACAUGCAAGUCGAGCGAACGGACGAGAAGCUUGCUUCUCUGAUGUUAGCGGCGGACGGGUGAGUAACACGUGGAUAACCUACCUAUAAGACUGGGAUAACUUCGGGAAACCGGAGCUAAUACCGGAUAAUAUUUUGAACCGCAUGGUUCAAAAGUGAAAGACGGUCUUGCUGUCACUUAUAGAUGGAUCCGCGCUGCAUUAGCUAGUUGGUAAGGUAACGGCUUACCAAGGCAACGAUGCAUAGCCGACCUGAGAGGGUGAUCGGCCACACUGGAACUGAGACACGGUCCAGACUCCUACGGGAGGCAGCAGUAGGGAAUCUUCCGCAAUGGGCGAAAGCCUGACGCAGCAACGCCGCGUGAGUGAUGAAGGUCUUCGGAUCGUAAAACUCUGUUAUUAGGGAAGAACAUAUGUGUAAGUAACUGUGCACAUCUUGACGGUACCUAAUCAGAAAGCCACGGCUAACUACGUG